AGCUUUACGAAGUGGCAAUAUCUUAGCCAAUGAGGUUUAUCUGAGGCACAAUUAUUGCUAACUGGAAACUUUUUCCAAUACCCCAAUGUAAUGACUUGUGAUAUAGUCAGCACUGGCAAUUUUUGACAGUCUCUACAGAGA